UGGAUAGAGUUUGAUCCUGGAUCAGGAUGAACGCUGGCGGCAUGGCUAAAACAUGCAAGUCGAACGAAGCCGCAAGGCUUAGUGGCAGAAGGGUUAGUAAUACGAUUGUACGUGCCCCGAGGUGGAGGAUAGGCAUGGGAAACUGUGCGUAAUACUCCAUGUGAUCUCCGGAGGAAAGCCGCAAGGCGCCUUGGGAGCGGCGAUCGUCCUAUCAGGUAGUUGGUGAGGUAAUGGCUCACCAAGCCGAAGACGGGUAGCAGGUGUGAGAGCACGACCUGCAACAUCGGGACUGAGACACUGCCCGGACUCCUACGGGAGGCUGCAGUAACGAAUCUUCCGCAAUGGGCGAAAGCCUGACGGAGCAAUGCCGCGUGCGGGAUGAAGCGGCUUCGCCGUGUAAACCGCUGUCAGGAAGCAGAAACACUGAUCGCUUCCAGAGGAAGGGGCGACUAACUCUGUGCCAGCAGUCGCGGUAAUACAGAGGCCCCGAGCGUUAAUCGGAAUCACUGGGCUUAAAGGGUGCGCAGGCGGACCUGUAAGUGUUCUGUGAAAUCCCCCGGCUCAACCGGGGAACAGCAGGGCAAACUGCAGGUCUUGAGACAGGUAGGGGUCGAUGGAACCAUGGGUGGAGCGGUGAAAUGCGUAGAUAUCCAUGGGAACGCCAAUGGCGAAGGCAGUCGACUGGGCCUGUUCUGACGCUCAGGCACGAAAGCGUGGGGAGCAAACAGGAUUAGAUACCCUGGUAGUCCACGCCGUAAACGAUGCACACUAGAUCGGAGUCGCUCUGACGCGCCUCUGGUCGACGUAAAAACAUUAAGUGUGCCGCCUGGGGAGUACGGUCGCAAGGCUAAAACUCAAAUGAAUUGACGGGGGCUCACACAAGCGGUGGAGCAUGUUGCUUAAUUCGAGGCAACGCGAAGAACCUUACCUGGGUUUGACAUGCACGGAUUAACUCCUGGAAACAGGAGCCACACCCUUCGGGUGGAACGUGCACAGGUGCUGCAUGGCUGUCGUCAGCUCGUGCUGUGAAGUGUCGGGUUAAGUCCCGCAACGAGCAACU
rnacentral:rRNA from 1 species